rnacentral:piRNA from 1 species
UGAGAAAUGGUGACAGAACUGGAGCUAUGU